ensembl:lncRNA
UUUAGAGUGAAGUACAUUGGAAAAAGCAAAAGAACGGCAAGACUGAAUUGGAGACAAAACAAGCAACAAACAAAGAAGAUAGGCUUUGGAAAAAGUAACUUUUUUAUAAAAUUGUACAGUUACCUUAGCUAGCUAAAUUGUUUACCAGUUGCUAAGCAGUUGCUAGGGACUCUCCUGGAAGAAGCUAGCUAGCUAACAAAGAAGAUCUAGUUAACAGAAGAAAAGAAAGACAAAAUAAGGACAGAAGAAAAAGUACAUCAAAGUGAAACAGUUCUCUAAAGACACGAGACAAUAGUACAAGAAACAACUCUUCUAUUGCGUUUAAAUUCUAUUUCUAUAGCUUCUUCAAGGUUUCCAAGAUGACGUAGUCAGACGUCCUCGUCUUGUCCCGUGUAUAUAUGUUUUGUAUCUUUUUGUCUUUUUCUAUAUUUUUUUCUAAAAACUCAACUUCAAAACACUCUCCUGCAACCCGCCUCACCAAAUGUGGUGCGGAUCUGUUUUUUCCCCAAAAGUAUUAUUCACCUCAUAUCCGAGCUAACCACGGCUAUCCUUUAGCUCGGAAAGCUAUCGCCAGUUUUGUACAACGCGACUGAUGACAUUUCUCUGAUACAGGCUAUAUGUUAAAUGUGCACCACCAAGUCAGAACAGUAGACUAAGUUAUGAGGGGAAAAGGGACCUUAAUUAUUAGGGUGAGGCACAUGGGCUACUAACAGCUGGGUGAACAUACACAACAUACAUGGGCUACUAACAGCUUACUACACAACAUACAUUAGUUACAUCUCCCAACAUUACAUCUCCCUGGCAUAUUACAUAAUUUAUGCAGCAGCAUACAAUACAUUUUUGGACUCGCCUUGUGCUGUGCUCACUUGAACAGGAAGGUGGCACGGCGGUCCUUUGUGGGCAAAUUUUGUCAUCUGCCUGGCAUUCUCUGGAUUUAUGGUGCUAUCAAGACACCUAGGAACUCUGCGGGGCUGAUCAGUGAUCUUCAGGUUGAUGCUCUAGAAGGAGCUACACCUGCACUGUGGUGAGAUGGAGUGUAAAAACACACCAAUCACUCAUUGUGGAAGGAGAAAACAUUCUCAGAUGGUUGAAGGAGCAGCUCACAAUGACUAUGCUGAGGAGUUCAACGGAGUUGUGCAGAGCAUCUGCGACAUUGUAGCCUCACAAAGUCUGUGUGUUUCACAGAUUUAAUGAUGCUGUUUCAUUUUAUUUAUAUUAUACAGCCUACUGUGUGAGUUAUGUGACUUUUUAAGUUUCUCUUUUCAAAAGGUUGUCAUGACUGACAGUAAGAUCACCAUUAUAGUAUCUUGACUUUAUUUCUAGCCACUCCAAUUUGCUUACCGCCCCAAUAGGUCCACAGACGACGCGAUCACACUGCACACUGCCCUAACCCAUCUGGACAAGAGGAAUACCUAUGUAAGAACGCUGUUCAUCGACUACAGCUCAGCAUUUAACACCAUAGUACCCUCCAAACUUGUCAUUAAGCUCGAGACCCUGGGUCUCGACCCCGCCCUGUGCAGCUGUGUCCUGGACUUUCUGACGGGCCGCCCCCAGGUGGUGAGGGUAGGAAACAACAUCUCCAUUCCGCUCAGCCCUGUCCUGUACUCCCUGUUCACCCAUGACCGGGUGGCCAUGCACGCCUCCAACUCAAUCAUCAACUUUGCAGACGACACUACAGUGGUAGGCUUGAUUACCAACAACGACAAGACGGCCUGCAGGGAGGAGGUGAGGACCCUCAUAGUGUGGUGUCAGGAAAAUAACCUCGCACUUAAUGUCAACAAAACAAAGGAGACGAUCCUGGACUUCAGGAAACAGUAGAGUAAGCACCCCCCUAUCCACAUCGACGGGACAGUAGUGGAGAAGGUGGAACGUUUUAAGUUCUUCGGCGUACACAUCACGGACAAACUGAAAUGGUCCACCCACACAGACAGCGUGGUGAAGAAGGCGCAACAGCGCAUCUUCAACCUCAGGAGGCUGAAGAAAUUUGGCUUGUCACCAAAAACACUCACAAAUUUUAACAGAUGCACAAUUGAGAGCAUCCUGUCGGGCUGUAUCACCGACUGGUACAGCAAAUGCUACACCCACAACCAUAAGGCUCUCCAGAGGGUAGUGAGGUCUGCACAACGCAUCACCGGGAGCAAACUACCUGCCCUCCAGGACACCUACAGCACCCGAUGUCACAGGAAGGCCAAAAAGAUCAUCAAGGACAACAACCCCUUGAGUCAGUACAGGUGCAUCAAACAUGGGGCCGAUAGACUGAAAAACAGCUUCUAUCUCAAGGCCAUCAGACUGUUAAACAAACAUCACUAACAUUCAAUGGCUGCUGACAACAAACUGACUCAGAUCUCUAGCCACUUUAAUAAUUAAAUUGGAUGUAAUAAAUGUAUCACUAGUCACUUUAAACAAUGCCACUUUAUAUAAUGUUUACAUACCCUACAUUACUCAUCCCAUAUGUAUAUACUGUACUCUAUACCAUCUACUGCAUCUUGCCUAUGUCGCACGGCCAUCGCUCAUCCAUAUAUUUAAAUGUACAUAUUUUUAUUCAUUCCUUUACACUUGUAUAAUUGUUAGAUUACUUGUUUGAUAGAUAUUACUGCUCAUUCAGAACUAAGAAGCAUUUCGUUACACUCGCAUUGACAUCUGCUAACCAUGUGUAUGUGACCAAUAACAUUUUAUUUGAAGAGGUUGUUUUAUGACUGCCAAUAUUGUGUUGUAAUGAACUACUCAAUAUGAACAAGGCUAAAUAACUGUAGAGAGAUGUGAUUUGUACACAUACAUACAUAAACACUACCAGUCAAAA